AUUUGAAUUUGAAUUUAUUAAAUUCAGUAUAUAAAUUAUUACAAAAUAACAAUUUUAUACUAGGCAGAGUAACAAUAGGACACGAAGUCCCUUACAAGGUUAACUGCCUCACUCUUACAAUUACACUAAAAUCAAAGUCAGUCAACAAGUACAUAAAUUCAUGGUGUUGACACUACGACAUUUUGGACAAAUAAUUUUGUACGACCUGAUGUUGUCCCCAUGAAAAACUGAUCGUAACCUUUCAAAAUAGAAUUCUUUCAACUUCACUCUAAACUCAGUUAAGAAACAUCAGGGAUUAUUCUAAGGUGCAGUGAUAACCAAUUUGUGCAGUGAUAAAUGAGAUUUGUGCAGUGAUAAAUUAGAUUAUGUGCAGUGAUAAAAUGCGAUAUUGUUCAGUACCAGAAAUUGGCGACAAAAUGACUACUGCUUGUAUACUAAUUUGCAUAUAAUCCACAUGCA